rnacentral:tRNA from 2 species
GCCCGGCUAGCUCAGUUGGUAGAGCAUUCGACUCUUACGUAGGGUUUUCAAUCUCUUUCAGGGUUGCCAUCGAAUUGUCGUGGGUUCGAGCCCCACGUUGGGCG